rnacentral:rRNA from 1 species
UUUUCCGGUUGAUCCUGCCAGAGGCUACUGCUAUCGGGGUUCGAUUAAGCCAUGCGAGUUAAAUGUUCUUCGUGAACAUAGCGAACUGCUCAGUAACACGUGGAUAACCUACCCUUAGGACCGGAAUAACCCCGGGAAACUGGGGAUAAUACCGGAUAAGCCAUAGACGCUGGAAUGCCCUAUGGUUCAAAGCUCCGGCGCCUAAGGAUGGAUCUGCGGUCUAUCAGGUUGUAGUGGGUGUAACGUACCUACUAGCCGACGACGGAUACGGGUUGUGAGAGCAAGAGCCCGGAGAUGGAUUCUGAGACACGAAUCCAGGCCCUACGGGGUGCAGCAGGCGCGAACACUUUACAAUGCGGGAAACCGCGAUAAGGGAACCCCGAGUGCCAGCAUCAAAUGUUGGCUGUCCAGAUGAUUAAAAAUCAUUUGUUAGCAAGGGCCGGGCAAGACCGGUGCCAGCCGCCGCGGUAACACCGGCGGCCCGAGUGGUAGCCGUUUUUAUUGGGUCUAAAGGGUCCGUAGCCGGCCUGAUAAGUCCUUUGGGAAAUCUGGCAGCUUAACUGUCAGGCUUCUAAGGGAUACUGUCAGGCUUGGGACCGGAAGAGGUAAGGGGUACUCCAGGGGUAGGAGUGAAAUCUUGUAAUCCCUGGGGGACCAUCUGUGGCGAAGGCGCCUUACCAGAACGGGUCCGACGGUGAGGGACGAAAGCUAGGGGAGCAAACCGGAUUAGAUACCCGGGUAGUCCUAGCUGUAAACGAUGCUCGCUAGGUGUCAGACACGGUGCGACCGUGUUUGGUGCCGCAGGGAAGCCGUUAAGCGAGCCACUUGGGAAGUACGGUCGCAAGGCUGAAACUAAAGAAUGGCGGGGCAGCACUACAAACAGAUAUGCC